rnacentral:rRNA from 1 species
GAUGAACGCUGGCGGCGUGCCUAAUACAUGCCAGUCGAGCGAACAGACGAGGAGCUUGCUCCUCUGACGUUAGCGGCGGACGGGUGAGUAACACGUGGAUAACCUACCUAUAAGACUGGGAUAACUUCGGGAAACCGGAGCUAAUACCGGAUAAUAUAUUGAACCGCAUGGUUCAAUAGUGAAAGACGGUUUUGCUGUCACUUAUAGAUGGAUCCGCGCCGCAUUAGCUAGUUGGCAAGGUAACGGCUUACCAAGGCAACGAUGCGUAGCCGACCUGAGAGGGUGAUCGGCCACACUGGAACUGAGACACGGUCCAGACUCCUACGGGAGGCAGCAGUAGGGAAUCUUCCGCAAUGGGCGAAAGCCUGACGGAGCAACGCCGCGUGAAUGAUGAAGGUCUUCGGAUCGUAAAACUCUGUUAUUAGGGAAGAACAAAUGUGUAAGUAACUAUGCACGUCUUGACGGUACCUAAUCAGAAAGCCACGGCUAACUACGUG